UACGGAGGGUGCAAGCGUUGUCCGGAUUCAUUGGGUUUAAAGGGUGCGCAGGCGGUCUGUUAAGUCAGCGGUCAAAGCCCGGGGCUCAACCCCGGCCCGCCGUUGAAACUGGCAGUCUCGAGUUGGAGAGAAGUAUGCGGAAGUGCGCGGUGUAGCGGUGAAAUGCAUAGAUAUCGCGCAGAACUCCGAUUGCGAAGGCAGCAUGCCGGCUCCACACUGACGCUGAGGCACGAAGCGUGGGUAUCGAACAGG
rnacentral:rRNA from 1 species